rnacentral:ncRNA from 1 species
UAUCUGGUUGAUCCUGCCAGUAGUCAUAUGCUUGUCUCAAAGAUUAAGCCAUGCAUGUCUAAGUACAAACCUUAAUACGGUGAAACCGCGAAUGGCUCAUUAAAUCAGCUAUGGUUCCUUAGAUCGUCUCAUCCUACUCGGAUAACUGUGGAAAAUCUAGAGCUAAUACGUGCUUACAAGCCCUGACCUCACGGGAGGGGCGCAUUUAUUAGAUCAAAACCAAUCGGGGCUUGCCCCGUCUGCUUGGUGACUCUGGAUAACUUUUGUGCUGAUCGCAUGGCCUCUGCGCUGGCGACGUAUCUUUCAAGUGUCUGCCCUAUCAACUUACGAUGGUAGGUGAUAUGCCUACCAUGGUUAUAUACGGGUAACGGGGAAUCAGGGUUCGAUUCCGGAGAGGGAGCCUGAGAAACGGCUACCACAUCUAAGGAAGGCAGCAGGCGCGCAAAUUACCCACUCCCGGCACGGGGAGGUAGUGACGAAAAAUAACGAUACGGGACUCUUUUGAGGCCCGUAAUUGGAAUGAGUACACUUUAAAUCCGUUAACAAGUAUCUAUUGGAGGGCAAGUCUGGUGCCAGCAGCCGCGGUAAUUCCAGCUCCAAUAGCGUAUAUUAAUGUUGCUGCAGUAAAAAAGCUCGUAGUUGGAUCUGAGGACUCGAAUUGGUGGUGCACCAUACGGUGUUACUGCCGAUUCGGCCUACCUAGUCGGUGCUCGCUCUUGGUGUUCUUAAUUGAAUGCCCUGAGUGCCCGGCAAGUUUACUUUGAAAAAAAUUAGAGUGCUCAAAGCAGGCC